UACGGGAGGCAGCAGUGGGGAAUUUUGGACAAUGGGCGCAAGCCUGAUCCAGCCAUGCCGCGUGAGUGAAGAAGGCCUUCGGGUUGUAAAGCUCUUUCAGCCGGGAAGAAAACGCAUGGGUUAAUACCCUGUGUGGAUGACGGUACCGGAAUAAGAAGCACCGGCUAACUACGUGCCAGCAGCCGCGGUAAUACGUAGGGUGCGAGCGUUAAUCGGAAUUACUGGGCGUAAAGCGUGCGCAGGCGGUUUGUUAAGAUAGGCGUGAAAUCCCCGGGCUCAACCUGGGAACUGCGUUUAUGACUGGCAGGCUAGAGUAUGGCAGAGGGGGGUGGAAUUCCACGUGUAGCAGUGAAAUGCGUAGAGAUGUGGAGGAACACCGAUGGCGAAGGCAGCCCCCUGGGCCAAUACUGACGCUCAUGCACGAAAGCGUGGGUAGCAAACAGGAUUAGAUACCCUGGUAGUCCACGCCCUAAACGAUGUCAACUAGGUGUUGGGAGGGUAAAACCUUUAGUACCGGAGCUAACGCGUGA
rnacentral:rRNA from 1 species